rnacentral:rRNA from 1 species
AGUGAACGCUGGCGGUAGGCCUAACACAUGCAAGUCGAACGGCAGCACAGUAAGAGCUUGCUCUUACGGGUGGCGAGUGGCGGACGGGUGAGGAAUACAUCGGAAUCUACUUUUUCGUGGGGGAUAACGUAGGGAAACUUACGCUAAUACCGCAUACGACCUACGGGUGAAAGCAGGGGAUCUUCGGACCUUGCGCGAUUGAAUGAGCCGAUGUCGGAUUAGCUAGUUGGCGGGGUAAAGGCCCACCAAGGCGACGAUCCGUAGCUGGUCUGAGAGGAUGAUCAGCCACACUGGAACUGGGACACGGUCCAGACUCCUACGGGAGGCAGCAGUGGGGAAUAUUGGACAAUGGGCGCAAGCCUGAUCCAGCCACACCGCGUGGGUGAAGAAGGCCUUCGGGUUGUAAAGCCCUUUUGUUGGGAAAGAAAAGCAGCAGGUUAAUACCCCGCUGUUCUGACGGUACCCAAAGAAUAAGCACCGGCUAACUUCGUG